rnacentral:lncRNA from 1 species
GAGCAGUAGUAAUGCUAGUAUCUUGAAUAAAAAUAGUGAGAGAGGAGUAUCUUCUAGAACUGGGUCUGGGACCAAGUCUUCUCCUGACCUGUGGGAGUGAAGUUUAACUGGACUGCAACGCCCAGCGAGGGAUCAGUGGGAACGCAGGGUUUUGUUUAAAAAGUUUCUCCAGCCAGCUCAGCUAAAAUGAGACCAUCAAUUCUUCAAAGUGCAUGAAAGCCU